GUGCCAGCAGCCGCGGUAAUACGUAGGGACCAAGCGUUGUUCGGAUUUACUGGGCGUAAAGGGCGCGUAGGCGGCGCGACAAGUCACUUGUGAAAUCUCUGGGCUUAACUCAGAACGGCCAAGUGAAACUGUUGUGCUAGAGUGCAGAAGGGGCAAUCGGAAUUCUCGGUGUAGCGGUGAAAUGCGUAGAUAUCGAGAGGAACACCAGAGGUGAAGACGGGUUGCUGGGCUGACACUGACGCUGAGGCGCGAAAGCCAGGGGAGCAAACGGGAUUAGAAACCCGGGUAGUCC
rnacentral:rRNA from 1 species